UUGGUUCAGAGAGAGAGAGAGAUGAUUGAAACUAGUAGACUGUGUACUAUGGAGAGUAUGAAAUGAGUAGAAGAUAGAUCAAAGUAAUUAGUUGAUGCUGAAGACUCAGAAGAUCAUAAAGACAUGGAAGAAGGUGUUGGAAGCAGAAAAAUUAGUAAGAAAUCAAAGUUGUUUGGGUUGAUGAUGAAGACUCAGAAGACCGAAAGGAAAAAGAAGAACAAAAAAUGGUUGAUCAGCUACUCAUCUUAAUCAGUUGGUAAAAUUCAACAGGUAAGCUAGGUUUUCAAGAACUCUCUUCAGCACAGUCUUCUAAUUAGGCCACGUUGCUGGGUUGACAUAAACAAGUAGGGAUUGGACCUUAGUCUGUCCCACUGGAGAAAGCCUAACAUCGCAAUCUCGAUGUAGUGGAAAACACCAACUCUAAAAUGAUCGCCGGUAGAAGCUAAACCUGCUAUUACACACCCAACUUUAAACGUUGUUGUGAGAUCUUAGGUUUAUGAGUUUUGCAUGAAUGAUGAUGCUAGAAAGAUUAUUUGCGUCAAUUAAUGAGGUAAUCGAGCUAUUAGAUUGCAUAUAGAAGUAGGGAUUGAACCACUUAAGUUUGUUUUUAUACAAUUUUAGAGCAGCGAAAAAAAUAUGUAAAUUGCCAAUCUGUUGAGGGAUUAAUCUAAUCAAUUGAUUUUUAGAAAGGUGAAUGUGGGUGAGUUUUGAAAGAUUACCAAUUUUGGAGGGAAUGAAUCUGAAGAGUCUGUUUUGCCUCAAUUCAAGACUAACAAAGUUAGAGAAAGUUGAAAUUAUGGAUAGAAUUUCUAUUCCAACAUGGGAGUAGAGUAGAAGUUUGGUUAAUAAGGUUUGAUUUCCAUUUCAGAAGAGCAUCUAUUUCUACAAGUGGUCUAAAUAGAGAAUAUAACAACUUGGCACCUCAAGAAAAUAUCUGCCUCACAGUCUUCUAUUGAGGGUGCGGUUUGGUACUCACGGAGAGCAGAACUCAACAUGAGUUGAAGACCAAGUUUGGAAGAAGGAGAAACCUUGGAAUGUUUGGAUGAAGGUUUCUUGGCCAAAGGUGCCGAAUGUUAUGACUUAUGGCUAUUGAACAAGAAGAAUGAUAAGCAUGACAUGAAAGAGCAAGAUGAAACGCCAGUCAUGCGGAUUAUUAGCCGGUAUGAAGAAUGAUGGUGUUUUAACUUGCAUCGAUUACUAUCUCAACAUUUAAGACGCAAAAGCUUCAACAUUAAAAAUGCUCGUGGAUUUUUGGGAAUCGUUUCUUUAAGUAUUCGCUCACAAGAGCACCUUAGUUUCGUUGAAGUAAUUAGGGGAAGAAGAUACGAAGAUAAUGGAGGUGAUUGAAAUUAAGGAGAUAGAAAGCCAUGAUCUGCCUUUCAACCAGCUGUAGGAGGAUGGACCCUGGAUACUUGCUUAUGAAUUGGUCAGGAUGGAAGAUCAAGAAAAUUGGGAGUGCGGUCAGCACUCUAAUUCCUCAGCUUCUGUUCCGAAUGCAAAAACGUUCGAGGUGAUACUAGUCUUGCAUUUUUUAUGGGAGAGACGGAAACUAAGCAAGAACUCAAUUGGGAUGAUGAUGGACCUAAUGCAGAUAAUCAAACUUGAUAUUCUUAUGCCGUUGGGGUGUUGCUAAAGCAAUCUCGGCGGCUCAACUGGACAGACCGUUGGGAUAAGCUAUCUCAGGAUGACAAGGGACGGCAGUGGGCCAUUAAGGAUUUGCUCCUACUUGAUGAACAUUAUAAAAAAACUACCUUGUCUAUUGCCUGUGGAAUAUUUAGGAACAAGAAAGCUAAAUGGAAAAGACAUAACUAUAUAUACCCCACUUUACAAAAAAGCGUCUUGCAGAUAAACCCAAUGAGUUAACCGACAGGGAGUGGAAGGAUCUUGUGAAAUUUUGGAUUACUUAAGAGCAUCUAAAUUCAUAACUCUGGUUCAGAAAUCUCUACCUGGAAACCACCUAUAAUAGAUGUCAGUAAAAUCAAUGUGGAUGCUUUGUUUAUCAUAAUACUAACCAACUUGGUUAUACGAAACUAUGCAAGUGAUUGCAAAGGGAUCAAAGGGUAGGUAUGAAGAAGGGUUUGAGCAGGAUUCACAUAGAAGCAGAUGCAGAGCUGGUCGUGAGGACCAUUAACGAGUCUUCUUCUCUAGUUAGAUGGGAGAAUAAUUUUCUAAUUAAACAGUUGCUUCAUUUUUCGUUCUGGGAAGUUUCUUAUGUUAGUAGAGCAAUGGUGUUGCGGAUUGAAUAUCUAAAGUUGUUGGAAGAGAUAAAAAAAACGUUUUAGAACUUAUAGAUGCAGGACACUUCAUUUGUACCAGUAUCAAUAUCAUAGCUGUAACUCUGGUCCUUCACUUUUCAAGCAACUGAACAUCCUCAUGUCCCCUUGACUGGUGCUUUUGAACUCUCAAAGUUAUUACUGGUGCUUUUUGACUCAGACUUCCCAGAUGAGCUUUAAAGAUUAUUUUGUAAAAAACUGUCUUCAUUUUCUGCAGUUACCUUGGCUGCUCCACAUUAAGUGAUUGUAAAAUUCUAGUUCAUGUUGUGAAACUAUUGUAUAAGAAUAUGGAAAAUUUGCAUCAAAAAAAUAGAAAAAAAGAACAAGAAUAUGGAAAAUGGUUGUCUUCCUGGUGGGUAUAUUGUUGGGUUGUCACUCAUUUUCAGUCAGAUUUUGAUUUUUCGAACUCAUAUAGGUCCAACUUUUCAGAACUCGGCAACUUCUGUAGCAUUUCAUAAUAUUCAUAUCCACCUUAUCAAACAGUGACUGCCCUUAUCCGCUAGGUAGAUGGUAAAUACAAAACAGUAAACCCUAAAUCCCCAGCCCUAACCCUAUGUAUAAAAAGAAAAAGCUUGAGAGAGAGAGUGUUUUUGAUUCAAGGGAAUGCAGUGUAUGAAAUGAGCAGAUAUAUCAAGAAACAUACAGUCUGGGUAUGAAGUGAGCAGAUAGAUCUGGAAACGUACUCUCUUUGUAAAAGAUAUGGAAGGUGUUCCGAGAAAAAUUAGUCACAAAUCAAAGUUGUUUUGGUUGUUGACUCGGGUAAUACGGAAGAAGAAGAAGAAGGGCAACAAGAAUAAGGAAGGAAGAAAGGGCGUAGUUGUUUAUGGGCUGAUCUUGACAUUCGGUACGAGCGGAAUCGGAAAUGGGGUUUUGAAGAUACUUGUACUCCUGUUUGUGCACCUUUAGAAGCUCUUUUUUGGCCCCCUCCCGGCCUCUUGUCAUGGAGAGCUUGCAGGACUUGAGAAAUAAGAUGCAUCUAAAACUGGGAUAUUCAGGAAUAAGAAAAUGAACGGGAAGCAUAUACACCACAAGGUACAAAUGAAAAGUGUCUUGCAGAUAAACCCAAUGCGUUAACUGACAAGGAGGGGGAGAAUCUUGUAAAAUUUUGGAUCACUGGAGAGCAUCAAGAUUUGCUCGGACUAGAUGAACGUUAUAAAAAAGCUACUCUAUUGCCCGUGGGAUAUUUAAGAACAAGAAAUCUAAAUGAAAAAGACAUUUCACGAUAUAAACCCCAAGAUACGAAUGAAAAGUGUCUUGCAGAUAAACCCAGUGCGUUACCCGACAUGGAGUGGGAGGAUCCUGUGAAAUUUUGGAUUACUGAAGAGCAUCAGGUACUUUUCGGUAGCAAUAUCAAGAGUAGCCACCAAAAAUCCAAGCACACAAUGGGUAGGAGAAACUUCCCACGAUGCAAGGCUGAUACAAUGGAUUGUCUACUAUGGGUCAGGCAUAGUUUCCUAAGUACAUUGUUUGAAGAUUGAUGGAGCUAAAAAGGUUCCCGUAUGCCACCACCAAUGCCAAGUGUUGAAGAUCACAACAUCGGCUUCUUUCCAUAUAUCACCAUUGAUAAUGGUGUCGAUCUUUAAAACCCGUUCCGAGUUUUCAACAACUCAAUCAACAAGUUGAACGACAUUGAGCUUACAAGCAACCAAAAGGCCAUCUUUGAUAGCUUGAAAGCAGUAAAUAACGCUAUGAAAGCUGUACUAGGUGAGAUCAAUUUGGAUGAUGUUCAGAAGUGAAGAAAAGGUCCCUCUCUCAUUUGCUUUGCAAACUGAGAAAUCUGAUUACGAUGCAGUAUUGGAGGAACAUUUACCUGCUGAAUUAAUGUAUGUUUAUGCCAUUUAAUGCAAAAUGGAUCACUGUAGAAGUGCCUGGAUAUUUUCUGACAUUUCAUGUAUUAAGAGAAGGUGAUAACCAGUCGGGGUACAUUUCACUAUAUGAUUUGAAACAGUUUUUUGUUUGCCACUAGUGGUAUACAAUCUAAAUUCGUAGUGUCUUCAUGUAUAAUAGUCUAAAGCAUACAUGAGAGUAUUACUACUAAUAUUUUCAAUGAAAAUGAAA